AGAAUUGCAGGAAUCAUAAUAACUGAAGUUUUAGGAGUAACUUGAGUCAUAAUUUGACGCUGAAUCAGAGAAAACAAGUGUUUGGGCUUUUCUGACACAGAG
rnacentral:lncRNA from 1 species